rnacentral:rRNA from 1 species
CAAAGGAAUUGACGGGGACCCGCACAAGCGGUGGAGCAUGUGGUUUAAUUCGAAGCAACGCGAAGAACCUUACCAAGUCUUGACAUCCUUUGACCACUCUAGAGAUAGAGCUUUCCCUUCGGGGACAAAGUGACAGGUGGUGCAUGGUUGUCGUCAGCUCGUGUCGUGAGAUGUUGGGUUAAGUCCCGCAACGAGCGCAACCCUUAUUACUAGUUGCCAGCAUUGAGUUGGGCACUCUAGUGGGACUGCCGGUGACAAACCGGAGGAAGGUGGGGAUGACGUCAAAUCAUCAUGCCCCUUAUGACUUGGGCUACACACGUGCUACAAUGGAUGGUACAACGAGCAGCGAACUCGCGAGGGUAAGCGAAUCUCUUAAAGCCAUUCUCAGUUCGGAUUGUAGGCUGCAACUCGCCUACAUGAAGCCGGAAUCGCUAGUAAUCGCGGAUCAGCACGCCGCGGUGAAUACGUUCCCGGGUCUUGUACACACCGCCCGUCACACCACGAGAGUUUGUAACACCCAAAGUCGGUGAGGUAAUCUUUUGGAGCCAGCCGCCUAAGGUGGGAUAGAUGAUUGGGGUGAAGUCGUAACAAGGUAGCCGUAAAGGGCGAA